GAUGAACGCUAGCGGCAGGCUUAAUACAUGCAAGUCAAGGGGGUAGCAAUACUACCGGCGCACGGGUGAGUAACACGUACAUAACAUACCAUAUACUGGGGUAUAGCUUUGGGAAACUGAAGGUAAUCCCCCAUAACAUUGCGAGAGGGCAUCUGAUUGCAAUUAAAGUUUCGACGGUAUAUGAUUGAUGUGCGUUUGAUUAGCUUGUUGGUAGGGUAACGGCCUACCAAGGCGACGAUCAAUAGCUGGCGUGAGAGCGCGACCAGCCACACUGGAACUGAGACACGGUCCAGACUCCUACGGGAGGGCAGCAGUAGGGAAUAUUGGACAAUGGGCGAAAGCCUGAUGCAGCAACGCCGCGUGAGGGAUGAC
rnacentral:rRNA from 1 species